rnacentral:lncRNA from 1 species
UAAGAUGUACGCAGUCCAUACCUCUACCUCUGAUGAAGUAGAAAGACUGUUUUCGAAAGACCCCCGGCUCAAGGCACGAGAUACCACACAAACAUAUAGUAAAGCACAGAAGCAGAUUACAUAACAUAAAUACGGCACCCAUAAGUAAUAUAAAACAGAGGAAAGUAGAGGAAAGCACACAGAUUCGUAAUAAAACAUGGAACACGGAACACGGAAUCAUAACAGGAAUAAAACCCCCACC